UGGGGAAUAUUGGACAAUGGGCGCAAGCCUGAUCCAGCCAUGCCGCGUGAGUGAUGAAGGCCCUAGGGUUGUAAAGCUCUUUCACCGGUGAAGAUAAUGACGGUAACCGGAGAAGAAGCCCCGGCUAACUUCGUGCCAGCAGCCGCGGUAAUACGAAGGGGGCUAGCGUUGUUCGGAUUUACUGGGCGUAAAGCGCUCGUAGGUGGACUUUUAAGUCAGGGGUGAAAUCCCGGGGCUCAACCCCGGAACUGCCUUUGAUACUGGAAGUCUUGAGUGUGGUAGAGGUGAGUGGAAUUCCGAGUGUAGAGGUGAAAUUCGUAGAUAUUCGGAGGAACACCAGUGGCGAAGGCGGCUCACUGGAGCAUUACUGACGCUGUGGUGCGAAAGCGUGGGGAGCAAACAGG
rnacentral:rRNA from 1 species